CUUCCCUUCCAGCAGAGGUCCCAGGGCCCCCCAGCCUGUGCAGGGAGCUCUAAACUUGACAUUAGAACAGCCAAAUUCAAGUUCUGGUUAUCUUAUUUUUCUUUUAGAAGACCUGGAACAAAUCUUCCUGGGACUUGGUUUUCUCAUCUAUGUAAUUAAUGAAUUCAACAGCCCCUGCGCCCCUGCCCACAGGGUUGUAGUCCCAAUCCUGAGCAGGAGUCUCCAUGUGCUGGGUCAGCACUGUCCUCUGAUAAGAGACCAGCUCGUGUUUGCUCAGAGAUAACGCCCAGGGCCUGGAACAGGAAAGGGCCUACUCCACAGUACCGUUAUUCAUAACCUUCCUGCGCUCUGGGUUUUUUCCUUUCCUGGGAGGAAAGUUUCCACUCCCAGUCUCCAAGAUAACGCCCUUCCGGUGGCGUGCCAGGAACGUCUCCGACCCCUCAGUGCUGGGAGGGAGUCGUUUCGUUUUCUCAGUGCUGUAAACACACAGACUCCAGCUUCGCCAGGGCCAAGACCAAGACCCCAGCCGGACCCGCAACUACCCUAGGCAGUCG
ensembl:lncRNA